AUAGCUGAUUGCACCAACAAAUAGUUGAUGCAAUAUUGACUCUGUCAAAUAAAAUUCUAGGUAGAAUUAUGAUAAUGACAUUGUCUGCCUAUAUGUCUUGACCAAAUUACGUGCCAGCAGUCGCGGUAAUACGUAGAAGACUAGUGUUAUUCAUCUUUAAUAGGUUUAAAGGGUACCUAGACGGUAAAUCAAGCCUUCACAGGGACUAAUUUACUAGAGUUACUUACGAGGGGGUAUUAAAGUACUGCAGGUGUAGAGAUGAAAUUCUGUCAUACCUCUUUUCAAAAGAAAAAUUAUGGCACAGGUAUAGGUGAAAGCAUCCCCUUAUGUGAUAACUGACGUUGAAGGACGAAGGCUUUGUGUCGCGAACAGGAUUAGAUACCCCMGUAGUCAAAGCAGAAAAUGAUGAAUGUCAUAGAUUAGAUAAAUAGUUUAUUCUAUAAAUGAAAAUGUAAGCAUUCCACCUCAAGAGUAAUUUGGCAACAUUGGAACUGAAAUCAUUAGACCGUUUCUGAAACCAGUAGUGAAGUAUGUUGUUUAAUUUGAUGAUCCGCAAAAAACCUUACCACAAUUUGAAUAUUUAUAUCCAUCUUUUUUUUUCGUAAAAAAAUAAAAAGGUAAUAUAUUUACAAGCGUUGCACGGCUGUCUUCAGUUAAUGUCGCGAGACUUUGGUUAGUUCCAUUAAAUUAACGUAAACCCUUACUUUAUUUUUAUAUGAAGUAGUUCCCCGCUAUAUUGGAUAUGAUAACAGGGACUAAGACAAGUCAUCAUGG
rnacentral:rRNA from 1 species